UACCAGCACCCCGAGUGGUCGGGACGAUUAUUGGGCCUAAAGCAUCCGUAGCCGGUUCUGCAAGUCCCCCGUUAAAUCCAGCUGCUCAACAGAUGGGCCGCGGAGGAUACUACAGAGCUAGGAGGCAGGAGAGGCAAGCGGUACUCAGUGGGUAGGGGUAAAAUCCGUUGAUCCAUUGAAGACCACCAGUGGCGAAGGCGGCUUGCCAGAAUGCGCUCGACGGUGAGGGAUGAAAGCUAGGGGAGCAAACGGG
rnacentral:rRNA from 1 species